rnacentral:rRNA from 1 species
AAAGGAAUAGACGGGGGCCCGCACAAGCGGAGGAACAUGUGGUUUAAUUCGAUGAUACGCGAGGAACCUUACCCGGGCUUGAAAUGCAUCUGACCGGCCUUGAAAGAGGCUUUCCCUUCGGGGCAGAUGUGUAGGUGCUGCAUGGUUGUCGUCAGCUCGUGCCGUGAGGUGUCGGCUUAAGUGCCAUAACGAGCGCAACCCUCAUCAUUAGUUACCAUCAGGUCAAGCUGGGGACUCUAAUGAGACUGCCAUCGUAAGAUGUGAGGAAGGUGGGGAUGACGUCAAAUCAGCACGGCCCUUACGUCCGGGGCGACACACGUGUUACAAUGGGUGGUACAAAGGGCAGCUACAUGGCGACAUGAUGCUAAUCUCCAAAACCACUCUCAGUUCGGAUCGGAGUCUGCAACUCGACUCCGUGAAGCUGGAUUCGCUAGUAAUCGCGCAUCAGCCACGGCGCGGUGAAUACGUUCCCGGGCCUUGCACACACCGCCCGU